CCUACGGGCGGCAGCAGUGGGGAAUAUUGGACAAUGGGGGGAACCCUGAUCCAGCCAUGCCGCGUGUGUGAAGAAGGCCCUCGGGUUGUAAAGCACUUUCAGUGAGGAAGAACGCCUGGUGGUUAAUACCCAUCAGGAAAGACAUCACUCACAGAAGAAGCACCGGCUAACUCCGUGCCAGCAGCCGCGGCAAUACGGAGGGUGCGAGCGUUAAUCGGAAUUACUGGGCGUAAAGCGCGCGUAGGUGGCUUGAUAAGCCGGUUGUGAAAGCCCCGGGCUCAACCUGGGAACGGCAUCCGGAACUGUCAAGCUAGAGUGCAGGAGAGGAAGGUAGAAUUCCCGGUGUAGCGGUGAAAUGCGUAGAGAUCGGGAGGAAUACCAGUGGCGAAGGCGGCCUUCUGGACUGACACUGACACUGAGGUGCGAAAGCGUGGGUAGCAAACAGGAUUAGAUACCCUGGUAGUC
rnacentral:rRNA from 1 species